UACAGGGGGUGCAAACGUUGCUCGGAAUCAUUGGGCGUAAAGCGCACGUAGGCGGUUCGUUAUGUCGGAUGUGAAAGCCCUUGGCUUAACCGAGGAAGUGCAUCCGAAACUGGCGAGCUAGAGUACUAAAGAGGAUCGCGGAAUUCCCGGUGUAGAGGUGAAAUUCGUAGAUAUCGGGAGGAACACCGGUGGCGAAGGCGGCGAUCUGGGUAGAUACUGACGCUGAGGUGCGAAAGCGUGGGGAGCGAACGAGG
rnacentral:rRNA from 1 species